rnacentral:rRNA from 1 species
UACGGAGGGUGCAAACGUUGCUCGGAAUCAUUGGGCGUAAAGCGCACGUAGGCGGAUCGCUAAGUCGGAUGUGAAAGCCCUCGGCUUAACCGAGGAAGUGCAUUCGAAACUGACGGUCUUGAGUAUGGAAGAGGGUCGCGGAAUUCCCGGUGUAGAGGUGAAAUUCGUAGAUAUCGGGAGGAACACCAGUGGCGAAGGCGGCGACCUGGGCCAAUACUGACGCUGAGGAGCGAAAGCGUGGGGAGCAAACAGG